CCCUACGCCCCGCCGCCUCCCGGCCACCCCCGCGCCUCGCCGCCGCCCGGCCACCCCGCGCCUCGCUGCUGCCGCCCAUCCUACGGUGGUCGCUAUUCCCAUCCCUAUCUCCGCGCAACGCCACCCCCAAUCGGACCCGACCAAAUCACGUCGCCAUGGCGCGGUGUCUCCAUCUCCCGACGACGGAGCAGCACCUCCCCGACGGCGUGCCUACCACCGCCGACGAGGAACUCUGCCCCAAGCCUCCUCCCCCCUCCUCACGUCCGGAUGGGCAAGAUCCAGCCGGCGAUGAAGCCUAUCCCACCGGCGCAGCUCCCCAUCGCCAUUGCGCUGCUCCUUCCCCGCGUGUCUCCAGUUCCCCUCGCUGCUCAGAUUGGUGUGCCGCGGUGCCGCCACCCAGGUGUUUGCAGUAAUGCUUGAGCACAGCACCAACAGUCGCCGCGGUCACUUCAUCCCUGAACUGCCACGCGCCGCCUGCGGCCUUGCUUCUUCCCCUGUCUUCUGCCCGGGCGAACCCCUUUUUCUCCUCCCAGGCACAGCUGCAACCUCCUUCUCAGUCCAAAUUGAGCGCUGGUUGUCGUACAAGUUGGAUCCUGGCUACAGUCUUCGCCAUAGAAGCCAUCAUCCCUGUUCUGAACUACCAACAGCCUCUGCUAAUGUUUGCUCUGUUUCUGAAAUCGAGUAUGAUUAGUUCAAUAAAACAAAAAAUGGAAGGUCAGAUAUGUCCGUUCAACCACCGCCAACCGAGGUCGUUCAACGACGCGCCGGGCAAAGAAUAUCAAGUAAAUAAGCAACUUCGACAUGCCAAUGGGACCUUUUUAUUAAGGGCUUUGACUACGACUGAUGGAAGUUGGUAUUCUGUGACGUUGCGCUCAGCGGCAGGAGGGCGAGGAUCUCUUCUUCUCGGCAGUACAACUGCACCCUCCGGCGCCGUUCACGAGAAGAGCUACGUGCAGGCCACCUGUGCUCCACCCUGGAUUUUUUCAAUAAUCAGGUCGUCGUCGUCAGGGUUCCUGCCCCACGGCAGUCAUACUGGCUCAUGCGCCACUGUCGUCGGUCCUUUUUCGGUUGGAGAUAGGUAGCGCCCCCAGGGAGCCCCUUCUUCAGUGGUUCAUUGGUCUGUCAAGUAUGAAGGUGAGCUUCAUAAUAGAGUAGCUAGACCUAUCCGCCUUCCAUUUUACAAAUUUUGCUGGGAGCUAGAAGUAACUAUAUGUAGAAAGUUGGCAUCUCUGUUUACAUAAACAUGCAUAACACGUGUGAUGCUACAUAAUUCCUGGGUCCUCCUCCUGUUAUGCACAAGCUCCAAUUCGUUGAGAUACUCUAUGGAGGUACUCCAUUUUAUGUUUUCAAUUCAUCUUACAAAAUAGCAGAACAAACUAUGUGUCAUUUUUGUCAUUCACGCAAGUUCAGGCAUACCUUCUGCAAAAGUUCAAAAAUCUGAAGAAACAAAGCUCAAACCAAGUUCAGAAACUGUUUCUGGAUUAAAUUAGUUGUUUUGGUUAAUUCUGUAGUACAUGUGUGUAUUGUGAUUGUAAUUGUGGCUUGGAGUUGAGAAAAAGAUAACAAAAAGGUACAUAAAUGAACCCAAAAACAUUCGGUAGUUUCUGAAAGCCCAAAGUUCAGUUCAACAUGUUUUCUAUCAUCAGCUCGUUAAGAACCCCAGAAACGGUUCAAUGUGUAUG